AGCUUGCAUGCCUGCAGGUCGACGAUUGGUUACCUUGUUACGACUUCAUCCCAAUCGCUGACCCUACCUUCGGCAGCUUCCUCCCAAAAAGGGUUGGACCACUGACUUCGGGCAUUGCCAACUUUCGUGAUGUGACGGGCGGUGUGUACAAGCCCCGAGAACGUAUUCACCGCGGCAUUGCUGAUCCACGAUUACUAGCGACUCCGGCUUCAUGAAGUCGAGUUGCAGACUUCAAUCCGAACUGAGACCGGCUUUAAGGGAUUCGCUCACCCUCGCGGGAUCGCAGCCCGUUGUACCGGCCAUUGUAGCAUGCGUGCAGCCCUGGAUAUAAGGGGCAUGCUGACUUGACGUCGUCCUCACCUUCCUCCGAGUUGUCCCCGGCAGUCUCCCAUGAGUCCCCACCAUUACGUGCUGGCAACAUAGGACGAGGGUUGCGCUCGUUGCGGGACUUAACCCAACAUCUCACGACACGAGCUGACGACAGCCAUGCACCACCUGUCAUGGACGCUUACGCACACUGUAUCUCUACAGUUUUUCCCAUGAUGUCAAACCCAGGUAAGGUUCUUCGGGUCGCAUCGAAUUAAGCCGCAUGCUCCGCCGCUUGUGCGGGGCCCCGUCAAUUCCUUUGAGUUUUAGCCUUGCGGCCGUACUCCCCAGGCGGAUCACUUAAUGCGUUAGCGCCGGCACAGCAGACGUCAAUGAGUCCGCCACACCUAGUGAUCAACGUUUACGGCGUGGACUACCAGGGUAUCUAAUCCUGUUUGCUCCCCACGCUUUCGCUCGUCAGCGUCGGUAUCGGCCCAGAGAGCCGCCUUCGCUACUGGUGUUCCUCUCGAUAUCUGCGCAUUUCACCGCUACACCGAGAAUUCCACUCUCCUCUACCGAACCCUAGCCAUGGCAGUUUCGACCGGCAUUCCGAGGUUGAGCCUCGGACUUUCACGACCGACUUGCCAAGCCGCCUACGAGCUCUUUACGCCCAAUAAAUCCGGAUAACGCUUGGCCCCUACGUAUUACCGCGGCUGCUGGCACGUAGUUGGCCGGGCCUUCUUGUGUGGGUACCGUCACUUGCGCUUCUUCCCCACUGAAAGAGGUUUACAACUCGAAAGCCUUCAUCCCUCACGCGGCGUCGCUGCAUCAGGCUUGCGCCCAUUGUGCAAUAUUCCCUGCUGCUGCCUCCCGUAGGAGUCUGGGCCGUGUCUCAGUCCCAGUGUGGCUGAUCGUCCUCUCAGACCAGCUACCCGUCAGAGCCUUGGUGAGCCGUUACCUCACCAACAAGCUGAUAGGCCGCGAGCCCAUCCCGAAGCGCCGGAGCCUUUCCUCAUGGGGCCAUUCGGUCCCUAGAGGGUAUCCGGUAUUAAUCCACGUUUCCAUGGGUUAUCCCGGUCUUCGGGGCAGGUUGCUCACGUGUUACUCACCCGUUCGCCACUAGGAGUCCUUCGAAAGUUACCAAUCAAAGGGUCCUCGUUCGACUUGCAUGCAUUAAGCACGCCGCCAGCGUUCAUCCUGAGCCAGGAUCAAACUCUAAUCUCUAGAGGAUCCCCGGGUACCGAGCUCGA
rnacentral:rRNA from 1 species